CAACCUUUCUGGAUCCAUUUCACCUAUGAACGCCUCCCAAAUUUCUGCUAUAUAUGUGGCAUUCUUGGACAUAGUCAGAAAGAAUGCUAGCAAUAGAAACCCUCAGUGGAGGCUUACUCAACUACUGAUUACGCCUACGGACCCUAGUUACGAGCUGGAAAUUUAGGAGAUUAUGGCGGCCCUAUUCAUGAUCGUCAAAUACAUUCCAUGACCCCAAAUCCGCCGGUGAAAGAACCUGACUUCGGUGAACAGAUCCAUGGUAAGAAAAUGCCAGAAAUGGCAAGUGGCAGCAACUCGGUUGAAAUUCAGGAGGAAUUACAGGGAAAUAAUGGGAAAGGAAAAAAUAGGGAGCUGAUGAAGACAA
rnacentral:rRNA from 1 species